rnacentral:rRNA from 1 species
GAAACUUGCCCCGAGAUGAGUUCUCCCUGACCCUUUAAGGGUCCUGAAGGAACGUUGAAGACGACGACGUUGAUAGGCCGGGUGUGUAAGCGCAGCGAUGCGUUGAGCUAACCGGUACUAAUGAACCGUGAGGCUUAACCUUACAACGCCGAAGGUGUUU